rnacentral:rRNA from 1 species
AACGUAGGAGACAAACGUUAUCCGGAGGUACUGGGCGUAAAGCGCGCGUAGGCGGCUUUGUAAGUUAGAGGUGAAAGCCCGGAGCUCAACUCCGGAAUUGCCUUUAAGACUGCAUCGCUAGAAUCAUGGAGAGGUGAGUGGAAUUCCGAGUGUAGAGGUGAAAUUCGUAGAUAUUCGGAAGAACACCAGUGGCGAAGGCGACUCACUGGACAUGUAUUGACGCUGAGGUGCGAAAGCGUGGGGAGCAAACAGG